rnacentral:rRNA from 1 species
UACGAAGGGGGCUAGCGUUGUUCGGAAUUACUGGGCGUAAAGCGCGCGCAGGCGGUCUUUCAAGUCAGUGGUGAAAGCCCGGAGCUCAACUCCGGAAUUGCCAUUGAAACUGUCAGACUUGAGGAUGAGAGAGGUGAGUGGAAUUCCCAGUGUAGAGGUGAAAUUCGUAGAUAUUGGGAAGAACACCGGUGGCGAAGGCGGCUCACUGGCUCAUUACUGACGCUCAGGCGCGACAGCGUGGGGAUCAAACAGG